AGAGUGGGGUGGAAAAGGGAGAGUGCUUAACAUUGUAAAAGCUGUGGGCAGGGAGGCCCUCGAUGAAAAAGUGGCUUUUGAGUCAAGAUCUGAAAAGGAUGAAGAACCCAGGUCGGGAGAUGGAACGUUAUCGGCAAUCCAGAGUGCUCCUGUUUCCCUUUCCAGCUACUCUGCAUGCUGCUGCAAAAGUACCUGCAGUCCUGACACCAUAGAUGAUCUGGCCUGCCUUUGAACUUCUUGCAAGUAAACUUACUAUCAUUGGAGCCUGUGGCCGGUUGGGAAAGCACAAAGUAGAGUGAGUUCUUGCUGAGAUGCUUUUGUAAUUCCAGUAAAGUGUGAGUACCACUAUGGGACCAUUAGAACACCUACUGCAAUUAAGGGUCAGCUAUGCAAGUAAUGAGACUGACAGGAGGAAAGG